UUUCUCAGUGCGUUCCCCAGUGGAAUGAAAGUGGCUCAAGAGGAAACACUGUGUCUAUAGGCUCACCAUUGUGCCUUCCAUACCCAUCCUGCUGCCUGGCACCUGGUAGGAACUCAAGAAAUGCUUAAAGAAGAAAAGUAAUGAAUGAAAGUGGUCAGAGAUUCCUCACUGGUCAAAAAUGAAAAAUUCGCUAUUCAGAUACAAAGAUACAGUUACAUAGACAUCUCAGAAGCAUGGAAAUAUUUAAUUGGAUGAAUAAAGAGAUCUAGAAAAAUAUUAUCUGAUUUUGACAAAAGAAGAAAGGUGAGAAAGGCAGGGAAACUCCAGAAAAUUGAUGCUAACAGGGGCCUCAAAAAAGUUUUCAGUUUUGAGACUCGAACUGGCUCUUCUUGCUCCUCAAGCUUGCAGACAGCCUAUUGCGAGACCUUGAGAUCAUGUGUGAUUGUCCCCAGCGCUGCACCAGAGACAUUACCAUGUUAAUAGAAGGAAGUGUACUGGGCUCAGAGGAGCAAGGUCCCAUUUAAUGCAGGAGUUGAGUCACAGCUCUUCUAAAAAGAGGAUUCUAAAUAUACUGAAAGGGGGGACUAGCUGCUGGAUAUUGGGAAGGGUGCCUUUUUGCAGGUCUUUUUGAAAAAAGGCAACAGAUUAAGCAGUGGAUCAAAAUAUAAGUGAAAGACUUGCCCACCAAGUUAAAAAGCAAAAAAGAACUGAACUAAACUAAAAAUAGCUCCAACCCAGAGAUCAAGAGGACUAUUUUGUCCAAGGAAAGAAUAGAAGUGGCCCGCUUACACUCCGCCAAGCCACUAGCUUCAAGUGCAUCAUUGUGCCAAUAGCGGAGGGUCUGAAAGGCUUCAUUAUUAAGAAGUUAAUGCUUGACAGCAGCCGACUCCACCACAGCAAAAUUACCAGCCUCCGAAAGACUGCCUCCUAUGAGUCUUGGGUUAAUUACUGAAAUCUCCAAAUUAUCCUUCAGGGAACAAAGUGAAGCAUGCAGAAUCAAAAGCAGAUCUGUAGCUGAGAUUAUGAAAAGGGAGUGGGUUCCUUUCCAUUUUCAAAAAUGAUUAUUUCUAUUGUAGGAACCAUAGAGGGGAAAGGGAAGAAAACAAAACAAAAAACCUGCCCUUGUACCAAGCAGGCAAUAAAUGGCUGGCAGCUGUACAGCCCCAGCGGAGAACAAAAUCUGCCCAUAUAAAUAUUCGCAUGAAAGUGUUGCCUAAAUCUCCGAAACAAGUGACCCCAAAUCAAAUUGCUUGAGAAGAAUGGGGGUGCUGAAAUGGAGACAAACACCCAAGUCUUGUUGCUGAACAAUAUUUUCACUAGGUGCCAUUUUCCAAAGUAGCUGAAUGUGCUCAAUCAAGCCACCUACUAUCUACUGAAAAUAAACUCCUUAAACAUUAUUUCUCCCUCCAUGUGUACAUAUAUUUAUUUCCUAGCCCUAUUUCCCUUUUCAGGAAGUAAAUCCAUUUUUUAAAAUGUUUUUGAUUUAGAAUCUCCACCACCAAAACACUGAAUUUUUUUCCUGCUUCCCUACUCUCUCCCUCACUCCCCACCACCCAUCAACCAUGGCUGUCAGAGGCUCCCAAAACUUUCUAAGAGAAGUAUUUCUCAAACAGAGAUCUCUCGUCAUAUUUUUGGAAGGGGAGGGUCUCUAUGAACUAUGAGAAAAUUAAACAUUCUUUAAUUUAGAUUUUAUUUUAUUUGUAUAGGGUCUCGCUCUGUUGCCCAGGCUGGAGUGCAACAGUGCAAUCUCGGCUCACUGCAACCUCUGCCUCCCCAGUUCAAGCGAUUCUCCUGCAUCAGCCUCCUGAGCAGCUGGAACGCAGGCUCACGCCACCACACCAGCUAAUCUUUUGUAUCUUUAGAAGAGACAGUGUUUCAUCAUGAUGGCCAGGCUUGUCUUGAACUCCUGACCUCAGGUUCUGUCUGCCUUGGCCUCCCAAAGAGCUGAUAUUUAAAGGUGUGAGCCACCACACCUGGCCUAGCAUUUUUGUUAUGAUGAUAAUUUUUUUUUUUUUUUUGUCAC